rnacentral:lncRNA from 1 species
GUGUCCCCCCCCCACCCCCACCCCAGGGUGCGUCUACUGACCAAAACCCUUUGGAAGCCCCCUGGAGUGGGGUUGGACUGCCUCCCUUCCAUGGCGCCUACGGUGGGAGAGAAGGAUCUAAACUGCCUUUUGUAGGCACGUGUUCGAGAUAGAAGCACGUUGGAGUUCUCUCGGAGCAGAAACACCACUUUCCAAUAUUUAUUUUCAAAUGUCCUCGUCUAAGAAUUUUUACAAAAGUAAUACUUAUUCAAUGCUGAGAAUUGAGAGAAUACAGAAGAUUGUAAAGGAGGAAACAAGAAGCCUCAACUACCACCAGGUUCUGCAACAGUGGUGGUGAUAAAAAGAUGUACUGAGGACCCCAAGAAGAGAACUCUGAUAGGCGUCAUGGAGGUGGUUAUCAGAUGAACCACAAAAGGUGAGAGUCAAGUCCAAGAGGCAAGGAGGACAGAGGAAUCAUGCAAGACACAGACAUGUAAGACAACACAGUAUAUUUGGAAAAUGAAACCUGUUUGCUGAGGUCUGGCAUCAGGUGCAUACGUGCAAAGAAGCAAGAAAUAUGAUGAAGAGAAGCCUGGCCAGAUUUAAAAUCCUUUUGCCUUAUUUCGGAGUUUGGCCUUUCUUUUGAAAGUAAGAGAGGGAUGAUAUGAUCAAUUUUGCAUUUCACAAGAUUUGUGAUGAAAGCAAUGUAGUAAAGAAAUUAGGCGUUGGGCUGGAGGUGGGGAGGGUGAGGGACAGGAACACCUGAAAUAGGAUAGAGGCGGUGAGAACGAAAAUGGGGUGGGUUGGAAGGUUCCACUGGAAGUAGAACUGAUUAGACUUGGUGACGAGUAGAUGUGGAGAGGAGGGAGGACUGAGUUAAGGGCUGUGGUGUGGGUUUCUCACUCACAGGUAAGGAGAGGCACCCUGCACAGAAAUACAGAGCCCAGGAUGAAGAGAAGAAUUUAAAAGGGGAGAGAACUUCCAGUUCUCAGUCCAGCAGUCCCUGUGGAUCACCUGAGAUGACUCAUCUUGGGUAAGUCAAGGAAGGAUCCUGGGGGCACUACGUCUAGGAAGGGAGAUGGUCCGAAACAAGGGUAGUUCCACUACAUCCCUGUAAGGUAGUCAGGGAAGGUGAUUCAUUCAACCGGCAUUUAAAGAAUAUACACUGUAUUUGGUGAUGAAAGUAAGGAGAGGGGCGCCUGGG